rnacentral:lncRNA from 1 species
AGCCAAAUGGGAGGACGCACGGUGCACCGCAUCCUGGCUGUGAGCGUUUGAUGAGCCAUGAGUGCAGGCAGCAUGUUCUACAAAAGGAUGGAUGGGGCCACUUAAGCCAGUGAGCCAGGAGCGUUGGUCUAAUGGAUGAUUUGUCCUUGAAGGUGAUUGAGGAAGACGCUGUCCGUGAAUAAUGAAACUCGGGUAAAUUGAUGAGAAGGGUCACAGGGCAUCACUUGAGUACUUCAGCAUCUGCUUGUGAAACCACACCAUGAAGAACCAGUCUUAGCAUUAGAAUACAAGCAGCAUCUGACCAGUCCACUACAGUCAUCAAACAACAGGAAGAAAAAGAUGACUGCCAAGCUUGUAAUUCUAGCACUCUGGAGUCCGAGGUAGGAGACUUGCAAGUUCAAAGUCAGCUUGAGCUACAAUGAUAGGAAUCUGUCUCAAAAACAACAAACAAACAAACAAACAAACAUAACAAGGGCCGGGAGCAAGGG